rnacentral:rRNA from 1 species
AUUGAACGCUGGCGGCAGGCUUAACACAUGCAAGUCGAGCGGGGGAGGUUGCUUCGGUAACUGACCUAGCGGCGGACGGGUGAGUAAUGCUUAGGAAUCAGCCUAUUAGUGGGGGACAACAUUCCGAAAGGGAUGCUAAUACCGCAUACGCCCUACGGGGGAAAGCAGGGGAUCUUCGGACCUUGCGCUAAUAGAUGAGCCUAAGUCGGAUUAGCUAGUUGGUGGGGUAAAGACCUACCAAGGCGACGAUCUGUAGCGGGUCUGAGAGGAUGAUCCGCCACACGUGGGACGGGACACGGCCCAGACUACUACGGGAGGCAGCAGUAGGGAAUAUUGGACAAUGGGCGGAAGCCUGAUCCAGCCAUGCCGCGUGUGUGAAGAAGGCCUUUUGGUUGUAAAGCACUUUAAGCGAGGAGGAGGCUACUAGUACUAAUACUACUGGAUAGUGGACGUUACUCGCAGAAUAAGCACCGGCUAACUCUGUGCCAGCCGCCGCCGUAACAC